rnacentral:tRNA from 1 species
UGGGAUAUAGCUCAGUGGUAGAGCAACAGAUUCAUAUCCUGUAGGUCGUAGGUUCAAUCCCUACUAUCCCAACCA